rnacentral:rRNA from 1 species
GAUGAACGCUGGCGGCGUGCCUAAUACAUGCAAGUCGAGCGAACAGAUAAGGAGCUUGCUCCUUUGACGUUAGCGGCGGACGGGUGAGUAACACGUGGGUAACCUACCUAUAAGACUGGGAUAACUUCGGGAAACCGGAGCUAAUACCGGAUAACAUUUGGAACAGCAUGGUUCUAAAGUGAAAGAUGGUUUUGCUAUCACUUAUAGAUGGACCCGCGCCGUAUUAGCCAGUUGGUAAGGUAACGGCUUACCAAGUCGACGAGACGUAGCCGACAGGCGAGCGUGAUCGGCCACACUGGAAGUAAGACACGGUCCAGCCUCCGACGCAAGGCAGCAGACGGGAAUCUUCCCAAAUGCGCGAAGGCCAGACGGAGCAACACCGCGUGAGUGAUGCAGGGGUUCGGUUCGUAAAACUGUGUUAUUAGGGAAGAACAAAUGUGUAAGUAACUGAGCACGUCUUGACGGUACCUAAUCAGAAAGCCACGGCUAACCACGUG